AUACCUUUCUCGGCCUUUUGGCUAAGAUCAAGUGUAGUAUCUGUUCUUAUCAGUUCAAUAUCUGAUACGUGGACCAAAGGUUCACACGAUAUUAAAUUUUUUUUUUGAGGGGGAAAGCCCACUCCGAUAGCUUGCUAUUGGGGCUUUCAAGAAUGUCGCCCAGGCCUUACACUAUAGCUUGGGCAGGCGUGCCCCAC